ACAUUCUCCUAUCUAAUGGAUAUCGGUGUCCUUUCCCGGGGGCAAAGUGCGGCCGGGGCGUGACGCUGACAACUCUCGCCAAUUUAGUGUCGAGGUUAUUGAUGAGUGGGAGUUAUAAUUCUCACCUUCUAAGCGCCUACAAGACGUAUGCCGAAACAGUUUUACUUUUUCAAAGCACAAUAAACCAAGCUCUGACGUAAGAACGAUAAAGGUAAAACGUUCUGAUGGUACUCUGGAGAUCCUGCAUCGUAGUUUCCAUUCAGAUGGCAGCAGCUGUAUUGAUGGGGGAUAUGAGGAGUGACAGAAUGGAUUCAGGUCAUGUGGUUAUGCCUUCCAGGAAAAGGUCAUGACAUCAAAACAAAAGAAUUAAAUAAAGAAACUUUCUAAAGAGUAAGAAAUUGUAAUGUUUUAUUUUAAAUAUGACACAGUAUACCAUUGAAGUCUUUUCCAAUGUUUGCCGCCACCAAAUAGCGAUCAGCAACCCAGGCCGCCCUCGUACCUUAGUGUCGCAACUUCGAUCGUAAUCAAGGCUGACGCUUGAAUCGCAGUGGGGUGGCCAUGACAGACAAGUCGGGGUCUGGCAGAUGGGAGCACAACUGACACAGGAUCUACAACAGACGCGUCAAGAACAGAGCAUCAGGUAAACUGACUCAUCGGAUCUUGCGCGCAAGCAGUUGAAUGGUUUAAAAUGUUCACAUAUUUAGUGGUACAGUUGAAAUUAAUUAUAUUAUGUUUCUGAUGAAUGUGUUCUGUGACGUACACAAAUGUCAAGAGAUUAAAUAAAAAUUGUGAAAAAAUGUGUGUCAAACUGGCAA